UAAGCUGGCCGGGUGAUCGCGGUGGUUUGGGCCACCGAGGAAAGUCCGGGCUCUACAGGGCAGAAGGCCGGGCAACUCCCGGCGGGGGAAACCCCGGGAAAGUGCCGCAGAAAAUAUACCGCCAGCUGUUCAGCUGGUAAGGGUGAAAUGGUGCGGUAAGAGCGCACCGGCCUUUCGGGAAACCGAAAGGGCCUGGCAAACCCCCUUCGGAGUAAGUCCAAAUAGGAAGGCAAUAAGAUGGCCCGUCUUGAUGCCUUCGGGUAUGGACGCUUGAGAGCUGCAGGCAACUGCAGCUCCAGAUAGAUGAUUACCCUUCGACAGAACCCGGCUUAUAGGCCAGCUUAACAU
rnacentral:RNase_P_RNA from 1 species